GCGCACGGGUGAGUAACACGUGAAUCAUCUACCUCCGAGUGGGGAAUAACCUAGAGAAAUCUGGGCUAAUACCGCAUAACACUUACGAGUCAAAGCAGCAAUGCGCUUGGAGAGGAGUUCGCGGCGAUUAGCUAGUUGGCGGGGUAAUGGCCCACCAAGGCGAUGAUCGGUAUCCGGCCUGAGAGGGCGCAACGGACACACUGGAACUGAAACACGGUCCAGACUCCUACGGGAAGGGCAAGCCAGUGGGGGAAUUUUGCGCAAUGGGGGAAAACCCUUGACGCAGCAAACCGCCGCGGUGAGGGAAUGAAAUAUCUUGGUAUGUUAAAACUUCCUUUCCGACUGGGGGCAAGGAAUUUUAUUGGAACGGGGUUAACCCCAUUAGGAAAGGAGAGCCCCCGGGGUUUAAAACCUUUCCGGUUGGCCCCAAGGCAAGGCCCGGCGGGUUAAAUUAACC
rnacentral:rRNA from 1 species